UCUCCACUUUCCUCAACCUGUAGUAAGGAGGCUCAAUGAGUUCUAUAUCCCUGUCAUGGAUCUAAGUACUGCAUCGAAAAUUGAAGUUUAAUUCUUCCUAAAUCAUCAUCCAGCCUGGCAGGAUCUACAUUUUUUGAAAUCUGGACCCUGAAACCUGCUCUCAACCUAGGCUUGCUGAUGAGUCCAGCCAGCACUCUGCCCUCGUUGUCCAAACAGCUUCUGCAGGACCACCAAACACGUCCCGGGCACAGCCAGCCGUGUGGAGGGCAGCUUUCACCCAGAAAAUGACGCUCCUGCACAUCCAAAGGAACAUGUGACCUCAUUACAAAUUCUUCAUAACCAAUUCUUCGAGGUCACCCAAGAACCCCUGCUUGACGAGGGCCCCAGAUCACCAUGGAUGUACUGGAAUGUCUUGUAGCCUCAUGGCCUGAGACGUGUGAUGCUGCUGGACUUUUCCAGGACCUCAGCGGGGAACCCCACCCCAGAGCCUUCCAUGAAUCAGAGGUCGUCCUUCCAUGCUCCGAGGGCCUCUGUACUUCGGGAACAUCCAUCUGGGUGUCUGUUGCAAGGAGCUACUGUGUCAUCAAAUCACCCAAAAAAGCUGGGGAGCCCAGAACCUGCUGGGGUGAGCACUGGGGGUGUCCCAGCAAUAAGGUACACCCCAAAGAAUGAGGGAAGCAAUAGCUGGAGAAUGGGAGAUAUACAUUCAACCACCGAG